ACUUCCCGGCAGCGGAGCGCUUUGGUGCCCUUCCGUGACUGUGUAAAGCACGUGUAUGAGGGCAGAGAAGAAGGCGGGAAUAAGGCAUCGAAAUUAUCCGCGGGGCGGCAGAGCGCGCUCCCCAUUCGCGAGAGAAGGCAGGGGCGCGCGGCUGGGCGCCUUCCCUCACACUGCAGAGCUCAUCAGCCCACAGUUGGCCCCGUGCGGCUCGGCGGGGCAGCGAGAAAGGCUCGGCGGUGAAGGAGUCUGCGUGUGAAAAGGUGCGGUUCUGCAAAGCGUCAGCCUCAUCAGUGUCACAAAAAUCUACAGCUGAAGCCUUCAUGCAUUCAGUAAAGCUGGUUUCUUUCUCCUGUCUGGAUACCAUUGGAAGAACCUGGCUGCACAAACAACUUUCUUCUGCGAGGUUCCUGGUUCAUUAGCUGCUCAAGUCUUUGUUCACAGAGCAUAUUCUGGCCAGGGAGACAACGGGAUACUUUAGCAAUGUUUUCUUCCCCUGGGUCUGCACAGCUUUCCCAGGUUGCCUGAAAAGCUGUAAAAGAUUACUUUGAAGCUUCUUUUUCGUCGACAUUUCUAGCAGAAUUAAGGCUACGGGAGCUGCUGAGAUCAGAGCAUCACAUCUGUAUUAGGACCCUGAGACUCAUCCAGUAAACACAGUGAAGCCUGAGGGAAGCCAGAAAUACAGAAAUUUAGGAACUGCUGAACUGCCAAGAUUUACUUUUCCAAGAUCUGCAGAUCUGAAUUAGUUACCAUAAGGAAGCAAGCAACUCACAACUCUCAAAACAUUCACACAGGAACAAUCAGUUUCAAAAAUAAAAAAGCAUUACCUAACA